CAGAAGCGAGCGCGAGACCACAGGAGAGAGAAGCGGGAGUGGCGCUACAGCCUCGAGCUACAAAAACAGUGAUAGUGCGUUAAGUUGAGACAAAGUCCAACAGUUUUUCAGCUCGAAGCUCUCAGAGCUGUUUUCAUUGAGCUGCUUCUACUUGUUGAAGCAUGACUGAGACAGAGUUAUACACGCUGUACAAAGGCGUCUAUGUGCCUUCAAGUCUCCAUCCGCCCGAGAGCCUCAGGUACUACGAGGAGUUUACGUUUCGUCCGGAUGACAUCCUUAUUGUAACGUACCCCAAGUCUGGUACGACAUGGAUGCAGGAGAUUCUCCCUCUGAUCAUCAGCGGAGGGGAUCCGGCCUCCGUUGAGACUCUUCACAACUGGGACCGUGUUCCAUGGCUGGAGGAGAAUCGAGCCCUCACCCUCAACCUUGAAAAGAGGCCGUCUCCACGCAUGUUUACAACUCACUUCCACUACAGCAUGAUGCCGCCAUCCUUCUUUGAAGUUAAACCAAAGGUCAUCUAUAUCAUGAGGAACCCCAAAGAUGUGUUUACGUCUGCUUUUCACUAUUUUGGGUCAACUUCGUUCCUGGUGAAACCAGGCCCACAGAGCGAGUUCCUCCAGAAGUUCCUAGAUGGAGAAGUUAUAUUUGGUUCCUGGUUUGACCAUGUAAAGGGUUGGCUCAAUGCUAAAGAUAAGGGGUCCAUCAUGUACAUCUCCUAUGAAGAACUUUUAAAGAACCUGAAGGACUCUGUGACCAGAGUCGCUCAGUUCAUGGAGAAAUCUCUGGAUACUGAAGUGAUAGAGAAGAUAGCAGAACGAUGCUUGUUCAAGAACAUGAAGAAAAACAGCAUGUCAAACUACUCGGCUGUUCCUAAAGAAUUCAUGGACCAGAGCAAGUCUGAAUUCCUCAGGAAAGCCUCGGCUGGCAUGUCUAAGCAGGACUUUGGGAGGAGGUGAAUGUGGAUGCAGGUUUUAAAAUGAAAGUAUGCAGGCAGGAAAAGGACCUUGGAUUAUUGGAAUUGCUGGAGACUGGAAGAAUCAGCUAACAGAGGCAGAAGCAGAAUACUUUGAUGCUGUUUACAAAGACAAAAUGAAAGAUGUCAAAUAUAAAUUUGUUUGGGAUUAAAAGACUAAAUGAAAGUCAUUUCAUCAUAAAAUUAGAGAAACAAAGUAGAGCAUUAAAUGGUUUUUUGAUAUAUAUUCAUGAGGUAAUUUUGUAGUUAUCAACAUAAAACUGGUAACAGCAUUCUGAUUGGUGCAAAACCAAAAUCCCUUUAAAUACUCAACUAUGAACAAGUCCUGGCAGCUUUCAGCUCGGUUUAAGUGAAACCCUGGUGGAGUGAGGGGGUUGUCGGGGUCAGCACACUUCAGCGAUGAUGUUGAAAGAGACCGCGAAAUAAUUUGGUACUACGCUAGAGAACUGUGACACUUAUAAUAUCCAAUGCCAGUGAAUGAGAGUGACGAUAGGACCAGUAAAAUGUAACAUGUAUUUAUUUAGUCUAUGCUUUUUUGUUUUCUGCUUCCAAACUUUCAAAUGUUGUACUUUUUACUCUAUAACAUUUAUAUUAACUCUUAAGUUACUUAUUCUACAGAUUUUAAAGCAUAAAAUGUAAUAAAAAGCUAUAUUGUUACAGAUAAAGCUACCCCCUGAUGCACAAGUAAUUGAAAGCAUGUGAUAUAAACAUUCAAAAAUUAUGAUCUAGUAAUAUAGAGCAUAUAUUCUGCAUAAUUAAAGUAUAUUGUAAUGCUCAAACAUUUGUUCCAUUACUUAAGUAGAUUUAUGCCUUUAUUCAAUAUGAAACAAUUUUUACAUUUGGGUGCAAUGCCACUUUACAUAUAAUACUUUUGCAUCCGCACAUAGGUCUGCACAUAUAUGCAAGGUUUACUCUGCUGUAUGUUUUUCUCGUCAAAUCCUCAGAAGUGUCACAAGGAGUUAUACUACCCUCUGUAGCUCAGAUCGUACAUCUUAUUGUCUGUUAAAGUGGUCACUGUGCCAGAUUAAAGCCCUAAAAUCUU